AUAUCACCUGAUUGAUAUUGAUGAGCAUAUUCAGGUUGUAUAAAGGUAACAAUGUAAGUAAUAGCCCAGAAUGUCAAAUUACAACCAAUCGUCUAACAAAUCCCUGAUAAAAAAUAUUCAAGUGCAAAUAAAAUUAAAAAUUAAAAAAUAAUUAAUGAAAAAUUAAAAUUAUUUUCUCUCUUUCGUCCUUGUCCAAUCACACGCGUUUGCGCUGAUUAGUGCCAUGGAGACAGAACGUUGGCCGAUCCAGGUCGGGUAUAAAGGGCCGCAGCUCACUCUGAUCUCCCCUUUGCAUCCGGACUUUGACACACAUUGACCUUUUGCAAAACAAACUUUGGCAAACUUUUGUCGUUUUAAAGCGCUCGAGAGAAUCUAAUUUGUUGUAAAACAAAUCUCGUUCAUCACUGAACUGCUGUGCAACAUCCAGGAGCUCAACCAUGGUCUUCGACCUGCGUUUCCACCCUGAUGACUCAACAUCCAGGACUUGUUGACAGCAGAGACGGUGCGUUUACCCCGGAGCAGAUGAGAAGGAUGGACGACUAGAGGAGAGCGCUGGUCGCCUUUCUUUCACUCCGCUAACGAUGGCUGGACUCCUCCUCUUUGUUUUGGUCCUCAUUGGUAGUCAAACUGAGCCCACCACCACCACCAGCCACCAGCCAAGGGAAUGAGCAAUAUUUGACAAUAUAUGAUAUCUGAAAUAAAAGAUAAUUAUUUGAUUU